UUUGUUUUGUUGUCAUAUUUAUUUCCAAACAUAAGUGACUUUAACUUCUUCUUGUUCAAACAUACCAGAAGAGCCCUAUGUUAUUUACAAUAAACAUUAAUCCUUCUUAGCUUAUUCAUUAUGUACUAUAUCUAAGCUUUUACAUUCCUCUCCUGUCCCUUUUUCUCUUCCCAUUCUCAGCUUCUCCUUGUUGGACUACAGAUAUAUACGGACUUUUUGAAGAAACCAACUUUCUAGCAUUCAUAGAUUACUUGGGAACUGUUUUUGAGGUGAUGGAAGAGGACAUGUUCUGCUACAUUCAUGAAGGCGGUCAACUAGUUAAAUGUGUUGGAGGGUUUGUUCCAUAUCAGGGUGGUCGUAGCAAAUCGAUGGUUGUUCGCCGACAUAUGUCACAUAGUGAUUUCGUUUCAAAACUAUGUGAUGCACUGCACUUUGACCAAAAUUCUAUCAAAUUGGAAUUCAAGGUCAAGUUUGAGCCAUCAUGUCUACUACCGUUGCAUGAUGAUGCAACCCUACUUAAGAUGUUUCGAUUCAACGAAAUGUUUUGUCACGUCUAUGUCUCAUCAUCAAGUGAAGUUGUUGAAGGCUAUAUAGCACCGAAUAGUGCCCCUUCUCCUAUUGUUGGUUCGAAUUCUGCACACCUACUUCCAUUCGGUGGCAAUCUGCCAAUUAAUAUCUGUAAUGACUCUCUUACAAUUGAGUCGUAUGGGUUUUCCCAUAGAUGUGCGGAAGCAGAUAUACUCG